UUCUUCUUGGGUUCUUCUUUGUGUAAUAUUGCACAAUGGGGGAAACCCUGAUGCAGCAACGCCGCGUGAGUGAAGAAGGUUUUCGGAUUGUAAAGCUCUGUUAGCAGGGAAGAGGAAGGACGGUACCUGCAGAGGAAGCCACGGCUAACUACGUGCCAGCAGCCGCGGUAAUACGUAGGUGGCAAGCGUUGUUCGGAAUAACUGGGCGUAAAGGAUGCGUAGGCGGUUAAACAAGUUAUAUGUUAAAUAUAUAGGCUUAACCUGUAGAAAGCAUAUAAAACUGUUUAACUAGAGUGCAGGAGAGG
rnacentral:rRNA from 1 species